rnacentral:rRNA from 1 species
GGGGAAUAUUGCACAAUGGGGGAAACCCUGAUGCAGCAACGCCGCGUGAGUGAUGAAGGUCUUCGGAUUGUAAAACUCUGUCUUUGGGGACGAUAAUGACGGUACCCAAGGAGGAAGCCACGGCUAACUACGUGCCAGCAGCCGCGGUAAUACGUAGGUGGCAAGCGUUGUCCGGAUUUACUGGGCGUAAAGGGAGCGUAGGUGGAUAUUUAAGUGGGAUGUGAAAUACUCGGGCUUAACCUGAGUGCUGCAUUCCAAACUGGAUAUCUAGAGUGCAGGAGAGGAAAGUGGAAUUCCUAGUGUAGCGGUGAAAUGCGUAGAUAUUAGGAAGAACACCAGUGGCGAAGGCGACUUUCUGGACUGUAACUGACACUGAGGCUCGAAAGCGUGGGGAGCGAAC